ensembl:misc_RNA Metazoa_SRP Metazoan signal recognition particle RNA
GCUGGGCACGGUGGCUCAUGCCUGUAAUCCUAACACUUUGGGAGGCUGAGGCAGGGGAAUCACCUGAGGUCAGGAGUUCAAUACCAGCCUGACCAAUAUGGUGAAACCCUGUCUUUA